CAAUAGCGUAUAUUAAAGUUGUUGCAGUUAAAAAGCUCGUAGUUGGAUUUCGGGGCAGCCUGGCUGGUCCGCCGCAAGGCGAGUACUGGUCAGCCGCCCUUCCUCUCGAAAGCCCCGACUGCUCUUCGUUGCAGUGGUCGGGUAGUUCGGGACGUUUACUUUGAAAAAAUUAGAGUGUUCAAGGCAGGCCUACGCCUAAAUACAUUAGCAUGGAAUAAUGGAAGAGGACCUCGGUCCUAUUUUGUUGGUUUCCAGGGCCGAAGUAAUGAUUAAGAGGGACAGUUGGGGGCAUUCGUAUUUAAUUGUCAGAGGUGAAAUUCUCGGAUUUAUGAAAGACGAACAACUGCGAAAGCAUUUGCCAAGGAUGUUUUCAUUAA
rnacentral:rRNA from 1 species